GAGGGUAUAGCUCAGUGGUUAGGGUGCAUGCUUAGCAUGCAUGAGGUCCUGGGUUCAAUCCCCAGUACUGCCA
rnacentral:tRNA from 1 species